GACGAACGCUGGCGGCGUGUUUAACACAUGCAAGUCGAAUGGAAAGGCCUGCUUUCCCUUGUGGAUUGCGGGUACUCGAGUGGCGAACGGGUGAGUAACACGUGAGUGAUCUGCCCCCAACUUGGGUAUAAGCCUGGGAAACUGGGUCUAAUUCCCGAUAGGACUGCAGGGUGGUGCCUGUGGUGGAAAACGAUUUUCUAGUGGUUGGGGAUGAGCUCGCGGCCUAUCAGCUUGUUGGUGGGGUAAUGGCCUACCAAGGCGGCGACGGGUAGCCGGCCUGAGAGGGUGGACGGCCACAUUGGGACUGAGAUACGGCCCAGACUCCUACGGGAGGCAGCAGUGGGGAAUAUUGCACAAUGGGCGGAAGCCUGAUGCAGCGACGCCGCGUGGGGGAUGACGGCCUUCGGGUGGUAAACUCCUUUCGACCGCGAGGAAGCCACCUGGUUGGAAGGGUGGUGACGGUAGUGGUAGAAGAAGCACCGGCUAACUACGUG
rnacentral:rRNA from 1 species